GCGGCCAUGGUCUAGUUUGGUUAGGAUGGAAGCUUCCCAAGCUUCUCGCCCGGGUUCAAAUCCCGGUGGCCGCA
rnacentral:tRNA from 1 species